UGGGGAAUAUUGGACAAUGGGCGCAAGCCUGAUCCAGCCAUGCCGCGUGAGUGACGAAGGCCUUAGGGUUGUAAAGCUCUUUUGGCGGGGAAGAUAAUGACGGUACCCGCAGAAUAAGCUCCGGCUAACUUCGUGCCAGCAGCCGCGGUAAUACGAAGGGAGCUAGCGUUGUUCGGAAUCACUGGGCGUAAAGCGCACGUAGGCGGAUGUGUCAGUCAGGGGUGAAAUCCCGGAGCUCAACUUCGGAACUGCCCUUGAUACAGCACGUCUUGAGUCCGAUAGAGGUGGGUGGAAUUCCUAGUGUAGAGGUGAAAUUCGUAGAUAUUAGGAAGAACACCGGUGGCGAAGGCGGCCCACUGGAUCGGUACUGACGCUGAGGUGCGAAAGCGUGGGGAGCAAACAGGAUUAGAUACCCGAGUAGUCCCUGAGCGGGCUGGCAAGGCGCAU
rnacentral:rRNA from 1 species